rnacentral:lncRNA from 1 species
CACAAACAUAGUUUCUCUUUUCCUGUAAUUAAGAUGCAAUAUUUAGUGUCAGAAACAACAAUAAACUCAAAGAUUCCAAAGUAAUCGAGAAUUACCCGACUAAUCAACGGUAUGCACGAUGUCCUCAGCGGUGAAUUUGUUGCCUAUGUCUUUAUCCGCGACGGCGCGUCCCUUGGUCUUGCGGUCGAAAAGCCACUUAUGUUGAAACAAAUUGCCUCGACAUUCAAUUUGUAGACAACACGAAAAUGGUGGUCUCGAUUUUUUCAGAUUCUCAAAAUUUUCGAAGACCAAUUUUGGAGGGUUGCGGAGAGAUUUCAAAAUUGGAUUGGCCGUAAUAGAAGUGUAAAUAGACUUUUAAGAAAAUGGGUAUAUUUUAAUGUCAAUACUUGCUUCUACCCCGGUUGGACGAAAUUUGUAAAAGGAUAAAUAAGAGAGUCCAUUGCUGUUAAGUGUGUUCGAAGAAGAAGGAUGAAGUAGAAGAAAAUUAGAGGACAUAGGAGAGAGUUGAAUGCUGCCAAGCUUUGUAAGAGAAGGAAAUGUGUGAGAGAGGGAAAUGUGUGAGAGACUGGUCCAUAAAAAAAUCCCUCAUUAAUCCAAUCGAGAUAGAGUGGGGGCGAUUCUUUCACCAUUUGGAGUGUUAGUUUGCCUACUAAUUUAUCACCUCUCUCAAUUCAAAUUUGACACAAAUACCUUCAAGUGAGCAACAGUCAUUGUGACACUAACGUAAUCUAUGCUCAGACACAGACAUAAACUAAACUCCAACAACGACCCAUGUAUCUCCAGUUUGUGAACUCAGCCAAUACAAAGAUACUUGUUUGCACCCAAUUUUUCCAUAUUCAAAUAUGCGAUUUCUUCUGACAAAAGGAACAUUUUGUUUUUUUUUAUUUUUUGUCAUCAGAAAUAAGCCUCAUCGGUCCAACAUUUGAAGCCCCCUUCCAAAUUGCCAAUUUUCUACAUUUGAAAUCAACCUACUUGCUAUUAGAACCAUUCCAAAAUACAAAUUAGGCCAUUAGAUUUACAGCUAUUCUGCAAUUUUCAAAAUGGUUAAGUAGAAAGCUAAUUUAAUAUACACCAAAUGCACAUAAGGUAAAACAAACUUAAUAUUGUCAAAAUCUUGAUUCAAC